rnacentral:rRNA from 1 species
GACGUGACUUCAGAGUUUGAUCCUGGCUCAGGAUGAACGCUGGCGGCGUGCCUAACACAUGCAAGUCGAACGGGACUUAUUGAGAUGAUUUCGGUCUGAUCUUUAAGUUUAGUGGCGGACGGGUGAGUAACGCGUGGAUAACCUGCCUUUCACAGGGGGAUAGCAGCUGGAAACGGCUGGUAAUACCGCAUACGCUCAUGUCACCGCAUGGUGAUGUGAGGAAAGAUUUAUCGGUGAAAGAUGGAUCCGCGUCUGAUUAGCCAGUUGGCGGGGUAACGGCCCACCAAAGCGACGAUCAGUAGCCGGCCUGAGAGGGCGGACGGCCACAUUGGGACUGAGACACGGCCCAG